GAAAAGGAAACAAAUUACUUUUUCCUUAAAAGCAUGAAAUUACAGAGUUACCUGCUGCUCAUUUUCCAAAUCCUCAAUUGACAAAGCUCCCUUAGAUGAGCCCUUUGUUGAUUCUCCUACCAAUAAAUCAUCUUGAUCACUUUGACAAGGAGUAUUAGCACCUUCCAUCACAAUUCCAUCUUCUCGUCUGCGCUUUCUUGUUAUUCUUCUUACUGAAUCACGGAUCACCUCUCCUGGUGUAACUUGUGCAGUUUCAAGAUAUUCUGCUGUAUAUUGUCAUUUUUGUCAUCCCUUGAACUGGAAAAAAGUUGCUUCUGAAGCUUUUGAAGCCUCUCAACUUCCUUAGAAAGCAUUUCGCCUGCGAGGGAGAAAAGUAGGUUA
rnacentral:misc_RNA from 1 species